rnacentral:misc_RNA from 1 species
GAUGAAGAACGUAGCGAAAUGCGAUAAGUAAUGCGAAUUGCAGAAUUCAGUGAGUCAUCGAAUCUUUGAACGCACAUUGCGCCCUGUGGUAUUCCGCAGGGCAUGCCUGUUCGAGCGUCAUUUCAACCCUCAAGCCUCGCUUGGUGUUGGGCCCUGCCCGCCGCGGCCGGCCCUAAAGAUAGUGGCGGCGCCGCCUGGCCCUCAGCGUAGUACAGCUCUCGCUCCAGGGUCCGGCGGCAGCCUGCCAGAACCCCCCAACUCUGUGGUUGACCUCGGAUCAGGUAGGGAUACCCGCUGAACUUAAGCAUAUCAAUAAGCAGGA